rnacentral:rRNA from 1 species
GUAGUCCAUGCCAUAAACGAUGAAUACUAGGUUUUGGGCCCGUCAACGGUCCAGAGCCGCAGCUAACGCGUUAAGUAUUCCGCCUGGGGAGUACGGUCGCAAGACUGAAACUCAAAGGAAUUGACGGGGGCCCGCACAAGCGGUGGAGCAUGUGGUUUAAUUCGACGCAACGCGAAGAACCUUACCAAGGCUUGACAUGGGACAGACCGUACGAGAGAUCGUGCUUCUCCAGCAAUGGAGCUGUCCACACAGGUGCUGCAUGGCUGUCGUCAGCUCGUGUCGUGAGAUGUUGGGUUAAGUCCCGCAACGAGCGCAACCCCCGUUUCUAGUUGCCAUCAUUCAGUUGGGCCCUCUAGAGAGACUGCCGCGAAUAACGCGGA